CCGUCAAGUCGUAGCCAUCAAAUGAAGUGGGACGAGUAUGGCCGAAUUCGAAAGCAUUCGAGGAGGAGACGAAUUCGGACAAGUUGGUGACUCUUCGGAUGUCGGGUGGUGGGUUCCGGUUCGGGUUCGGGAAGUAAUGCAGCGAUGAAUCGUCGUCGGCCAUGGCUUCUGUUACUACACGUGAAUCAGUUACUAUUUUGUCUCUGCAAUCAACAGAAAACAAAAUAAAAUAUAAAAAAAGAAAUUAAUGAAUCAUGUAUGAACAGCUACAUAUUCCCAUUGCUUGGUUCAGUUCCCAAACAGAACAGAACAGAAAAAAGACAAGAAUAACAUAUAAAUUAUCGAUCUUGUUUGGAAGGAGGAUUUGAAAAAUACAUGCGUUUGGUACAAAUUAGAAAAUUGGUUCUAAAAAAUGUGAAUAAAUCAUGAAUGCCAAACACGGACUUAGAUUCUUGAAACGAUACACAACUAGUACUGCAGGAAAGUCAAACAAAUCUUUAAGCUUGGAGUUUUAGAUCUGAUAAGCUAUGAAACUUCAACGAGGCAAAAGAGAGAUCAUGUCAAGAAUCCUUUCAUCUCAAUAAUUCUAGUGAUUGGAAGAGAGUUCUCAUCAGUUUUAUAGGAUUCAUUACAGAUCAAUCGUACCGACGAGAAGAAGAAAGAGAAGAGCUUAAGAUAGCUUACCACGUGGCGGAUUCCGGCGGGCAGAGAUGGAGUUGGGUUUUGGUGGAAGGACUGAAUAGUAAUUUCAGCUGGAGUUUUCUGGGCAGAGGGAGAAGUGAACGAAUGGAGGAAUAAUAUUGUUUGUU
rnacentral:lncRNA from 1 species